rnacentral:rRNA from 1 species
AUUGAACGCUGGCGGCAGGCCUAACACAUGCAAGUCGAGCGGCAGCGGGAAAGUAGCUUGCUACUUUUGCCGGCGAGCGGCGGACGGGUGAGUAAUGCCUGGGAAAUUGCCCAGUCGAGGGGGAUAACAGUUGGAAACGACUGCUAAUACCGCAUACGCCCUACGGGGGAAAGCAGGGGACCUUCGGGCCUUGCGCGAUUGGAUAUGCCCGGGUGGGAUUAGCUAGUUGGUGAGGUAAUGGCUCACCAAGGCGACGAUCCCUAGCUGGUCUGAGAGGAUGAUCGGCCACACUGGAACUGAGAAACGGUCCAGAGUCCUACGGGAGGCAGCAGUGGGGAAUAUUGCACAAUGGGGGAAACCCUGAUGCAGCCAUGCCGCGUGUGUGAAGAAGGCCUUCGGGUUGUAAAGCACUUUCAGCGAGGAGGAAAGGUUGGUAGCUAAUAACUGCCAGCUGUGACGUUACUCGCAGAAGAAGCACCGGCUAACUCCGUGCCAGCCGCCGCAGUAAUAC